AAAAAGUAAAGUCACAGGGGUUAUAAGUGAUGGAACAAAGAAGUUUUCAGUCUCUUGGUUAGGAAGCAAUAGGGGUGGUAUAGAGAUAUGAGACAACACCAGCAAAGCAGACAGAGAAGUUACUCAACCCUCAUACCAUUAAAUCUCAGACUUGGAGGGAGCUUCCAAGACCUCCAGUCCAACCUUUCCCUGAGCAGAAGCCCCUUACUGAGUAUCCCUGAAAGAUGGUCAGAGGAAUCUCUGCUUCAAGAACUGAGUCACAGGGAAUGUUAGUACCUGCUGAUGCAACUUACAACACUUUUUACAUGACUUUCAUUUCUAAGAAGUUUCUCCUUGAAUGGCUGAAAAUGGCCCCUCUGAGAUGACUGCCAAGUUUUCCUACUUUCUGACCUCUGCUUGGGACCAAACACAAUAAAUCAGAUUCUCACUCAACUAGCUCAUAACAGCCCUUCAAAUGUUUGGAGACAGUGACAUUCUGAGAAAGUUUCUCCAGUAGAUAUGAGAAGAGUGACUCAGCCUAUAAUAAACUGACCCCAGCUGGUACAUAAGUCCUGA